AAAAACAUACAAUAUAUUUUCCAGGGGGCCCACAGAUUUUCUUCCACUAGAAAUACCCUCACAAGUCAUCUUCUUCAGAGGGACAAUCUUCAUAUUCACGCACCAGCUCACAGAAACAAUACUAAUACACACACCAGUGAGAGAGAGAUAUAGACGCACACCCGCAGAGAGAAUCAUAGGAGAAAGAGAGAAUCGGGAGAGAGUGAAUAAAAAAGGGGUUGAAUAGUGGUCGGUUGGCGUGAACAGUAAACGUUGAACGGAGUAGGGGGAAGAACAGUUUUUCCCGGUGAGCUUGUCACUGGAAUAGUGCCUCAUCGUAGAGUCCGUCCACUCCUCCCUAAAACUCAAUCAAAACCAGCUUCAAACCCCCUAAAAUUAUGACGCUAGUGCCCGACUACUCCGCCGCCACCGCUGUUACUAUUUCGGCAAUGAAUUUUUCGCCUGGAAUGAGCCAAAUCGAUCAAAAUCGUCCCAAAAAUAUUGAGAAAAUAGUGAGUUCACCUUGGGUUUUCGACAGUUAAGUUAGAGGUCUGUUUGUGAUUUGGUAUUGGAAAAAAAAGGAACAAAGGGGAUAUAUCGAAGUUGGAGUUGUUCGUUUGGUGAGGCUCGAUCUGAGAUUAUGGACGCGAUCCAAUCGAAAGGAGCAACUUUAAUCGAAAGCAACAUUUGAGGUUCAAUUCUAUCUUCUCUAUUUUUUUUGUAGUUUUUAACAUAAUUAUGAAUGAUUUAUGUGUUUGGCAUGUUUGAAUCUUCGUUAUGUGUGGGUUGAUGUUGGAUUUGGAUAUGAAAACUUGAUCGGUGGAUUGUAUAUUGAAUUGGUUUAAUCGUGUUAAAAAAGUUGAGGCGCGAAUUGAAAAUUUACUAAAGUGAAUUAGGAUUAAUUUUGAUUUAUUGUUAUUUUGAUUCAUUGACGCCAUCGAUCAUGAUAGUGCCAUGAUAGGUCGAGUUAGGUAGGCAAAAGUAGGCUGGGUAGGCAAAGUUGAGGACCUGUGAUUGUUGAAAUGAUGAAAUAUUUGUGGAGUGGUUUUGAUUUAUGCACUGAGAUCUAUUGUAUUCAUUUGGCCGGGGAAUGCCCCGAGGGAUUUGUAUUGAUUCACCGGGGAAUGCCCCGACGUAUCAUGUAUUCGGAGGACGUCCGUGAUGAAGGCCCGAAGCAUCGGGUAAGGCAUUGGACAUAGUUUAGGAUUAGUGUAGGUUAGCGUAGGUUUAUUUUUCAGUACCUUUUUUAUCAUUUCGGGUUGUAAUAAUUGGACUGGACAUUAUUAUUUUGAUUUUUGGAUUGUUGUUUGAUGUUUGUUUAUGUGCUUUGUGUGGUUUAUAUAUUUGUGGUGUCUAAUUAGCCGAUACUCUCCACCAAGAGACCAUGGUCGAACCACGGGACCGAGGGGUGCCUAACACCUUCCCCUCGGUCAACAAAAUUCCUUAGUUGAAACCUCUGUUCGCGGAUCAGUUUUACAGAGUCAAAAUCGUUUUGAAAAGGAUUUUCCAAAGGUGACUUGGCACACCGGAUUAUGCCAAGUGGUGACUCUGAGUUUUGAAUAUAAAUAAUUCUUUUCGAAAUAAAUUUUUAUUUUUUGUCACUUUGAUAAUAAAAAUCCUUUCAAACUUAAAACGAAAUCUUUUUUGGGUAAAAAAAGGGUGUGACAGCUCUGGCGACUCUGCUGGGGACUUUUUUUUAGAAUUCAAGCUUAUUUUGGAGUUGUAUCGACUUAGUUUGGCACUAUAGGUAUAUAGACAUUUUGUUUGUGUUGUUUUGUGUUAUUGUUUAUCAUUGUUGAGUGCCUACGUGCUCUUUGUUUACAAUUUUUAUUUUAUGUGUUACCGUUUUAUAUCUGGCAUCAUGUGUAUAACCCGAGCCAUUCUUUCUGCAACAAGUCUAUAGUAUACGCUAUGUACACGACCUCUAGUUGAGUCACCUUUAUCUUAGGGGGGAGUCUUCGACUGGUAUGGAGUGGGUGGAAAGCUAAAACAACCACUAUCGACCAUAUGCUCUCCCGAACAGCCUUGUUAGUGAAUCCCAGCGUAGGUCAGCUUUUAGGUCAUGCUUAUCUGCAUCAUAUUGAGACCUAGCGGGACUCACUUGGUCUUUUGUAGGAGACUCACCUCUAAGGCAUCCCUACGUGCUAAAUGUUACAUCUUUGAGGGUAACGUGGUCAUUUGACGGACUAAUUUAAGGGAAAACAUGUGCUAGAGGUAAAGUGCGUAGACAAGAAAUCAUUUGAAAAAAAAAGGAGUUUCGUAGCUUUUAGUGUUCUUUAUGACUUUUGUUUCCCACAAUUCAAAAAUUCAAAAAGAUUUCUUUAUUUUCUGCACUCAUUUUUUUAAAAACCAAAACAUCAAAAAGAUUUCUCACUUUGUCUCCUUUAGCAUGCAUUCAUAAUUAGAAAUUUUCAAAAAAAAAAAAAAUUAGCAGUUUUUAUAAAAGAAAUUGAAAAAUGGUGAAAGAUUUGUACAUUUCAUAUAGUGAAAAUGUCAAAAAGAUUUUCCUUCAUAAUUGUUGGUGUCAGUUUAGCUGAAGUAUCUAAUUAAAAACCCAAAAAUAUUUUAUUCAUUUGUCUUUGGUUGUGUCUCUUAAGUUAGGGUCAAUUUGUUAGACUAUCGUUAAUUGUACAAUCUGGACGAACUACGCACCCGUGAUUCUGCUCUCUCCGGAGUGAGAUACAUAGGUAACCUAUUUUGGGUUGGGGAUCUUAUUUCAAAAAUUCAAAAAAAGAUUUUCUUCACUCUUCAUUUAGAGUAGGUGUUUCAUGUACAUCUUUAAAAGAAAACAACAAAAAAAUAUUUCCCUUUAAUAGGUUCAGGUUUCAUUUUCAUAUGAAAUUCAAAAUCAAAAAUCAAAAAAUAUUUUUUUCGGUAAUCAUAGAUUUCAUUUUGUACAGAAAUCUGAAAAAUUCAAAAAGAUUUUCUUCACUCUUCACUUAGAGUAGGUGUUUCAUAUACAUCUCUAAAAAACUACAAAAAGAUUUUUCUUUAAUAGUUUGAAGUUUCAUUUUCCUAUGAAAUUCAAAAUCGAAAACCCUAAAAGAUUUUUAUUUGGUAAUCAUGGGUUUCAUUUUGUAUAGGGAUGUUAAGACUAAAAAAUGCAAAAAAAGAUUUUCGUCAAUUCUUUUGACAAUUUGUUAUUUUCUUUUCUUCUUAAAGUUUCAAAAAGAAAACAAAGAGUUCAAUUGGCCGUUUUGGCACGACUUAACGAACUACGCACACCUGAUUCUCCUCUCUCGGUGGUGAGAUACGUAGGUGCCCUUCUUGGGUUCGGUGAUCUUUUCAAGAAAAAAAAGGGAGAGAGAGGUUUUGAAAAAUGUUGAACUCUAACAUAUUUGUUGCCUCUUGUUCAGUUAGUUUAAGGUGGUUGGUUUGUGGCUUACUGGUUGGUCCUCCAUAUCACACCAAAUCCAAGGAGGGGUUAGUUGUGUCCAACAAGGAUAUAGAAAGUGGCAUCAUGGAUGAAACAAAGAUUCAGGAAAUUGAGAGUUUAAAGAAAGAGAAUUUGAGACUGAGACAACAAGUGAUGGAAAUAUACCGAGCUUGGACCAGUGGGCUGCCUCCACCUCUGUUUCCCACUUUUGGCCCUGCAAAUACCUUGAGUCUUCCACCAAAAUCGUAAAGUCAGUUUCUGUCUUCUUAUCCACAAUGGCAUGCUCCUGUCCCUCAACAUCGUCCUCGACCCCCACGAAUUUACCAAGGAACCUCUAAAUCCAAGUUUCAUCUAAGGCUAGAGUUAGUGUUGUAAAACAUUUCAUAAGUGAUCUUUAUCGUGCAAUUUUGUAUUGCAUGCUAUGUACUAGCAUUUUCAAAAAUUGAUAUGACGAAGGCAUUUCAUUCUGCUUUCCAAAUAUUGUGUCAUCCUUUGUUUACCCCAUUUGGGCCUUAGUGUUAUUUUCUUUUAUACCCCUCUUUUGGAAUCAAGAUAAAGUCAACAAAAUCCAAAAAAAGUGUCGAAAAAGAAAAAAAAGAUGAGUGUCAAGAAAAAUAAAGUCAGAAAAGUCCCAAAGAUAAAAAGAGUCGACAAAAGAAAAAAAAUAGAAUCAAGUGAAAGAACAAGUUGCCAGAACUACGCAUGACUUGAUUCUCCUCUCUCGAGGGUGAGAUACGUAGGCUGCCUUACUCAGGGCUCGGUCCAACCAAAUAAAUAAUUUAGAAUUGCCCAGUCAAAAAUUGGGGCUUGAGUUAAUCCUCAUUGUUUGAGUCGAUUCCAAAAGUUGUAAGUCCUACCCCACUUUUAGUAUUGUUUGGGCCCCAUGCCAUCCUUUAUUUUCAACCCUAUCCAAAAGCCAAGUUACAAUCAAAGAAAGACCUUCAGAUCAAUCUUUGAGAAUGUUAAGGCUAAGUAUGCAAUGGAUGUGAUGACACAUUUUGAGAACUACUCGUCUUCCUCAGCAUAAAAAAUCAGGAGAGAAAUAAAAAUGAGAGAGUUUUAUUGGUGAAAACCCUCACGGGCACCAUAAGGAGAUGGUAAAUUAAGAAAGAUAAAAAUGAGAGAGUUUUAUUAGUGAAAACCCUCACAGACACCAUAAGGCGAUGGUGAGUUGAGAGAAAAAUGAGAGAGGCUUGUUUGAGAAAACCCUUCAAGGUGCCACUAGCCGAAUGAGGUCUCCGAAUGCAAUGGGUCUAAGUAAGAAACUCAGUUUCAGGGCCAUUAACUCAACAACAAUUGGUAGAAAGUUUGGAUGAAAAGAUCAGGCUGCUUAAUCCAAAAUGCACAGUAUAAUUAUUAGAGUUGACUGUCAUUUUUAGAUUAAUUUAUUGUUUCUUUGUUACAAAUGAGGAUAUUCAUUUUCUUUCCUUUCUUUUCUUUAUUUUUAUUUUAUCUUUCUUGAGUCAGUUAUCCAAAUAAAAAAAUUGUCUUUCUUUUUUUUCUUUUCUUGUCUUUGAGUCAAGUCCAUGUCAAAACAAGUGAGAAAAGAUUUUAAAACUGGCUAUCAGCUUCUUCAAUUGCACAAAGCAAGACAAAAGGGACAGCACAUGCAAAAGACAUGAUUGUGAGCCGAAAUAAGGCAUACAAAAAUUGUGUCAACAGACAAGUUUGGGAACUCAUGAAAAUACCAAGGUUCAAAGGGUUUAUAUGAUGAGCAUGACGAAGCAGAGAUAUCAUUUUAUUUCAGAGUCACUUUUAAUAAACUGAAUUUAGGUCAAUGAUGCAGCAAGUCAAUGAUAAAUGCUAAUGGUUGGAAGCAAGGUUAAAUGUGAUGGGGCAAGAGCGAUCGUCGCGAAAGCUAAAGCCACAAACCAGCCACCGUGUUUUAAACUCACAAGUUUUCUUUGAUGAAAUAGGAAACAUAUUACCUUCAAAGCAAGGACGUCAGAGCAUAAAUAUCAAGGCUUUCAAUGCCUCACGUUUAAAUAUGCACGAAGAAAUGUUGCUGCACAGGUUUGGUAAUCAAAUCAUUGUAAAAUUCAUCAUCUUAUAUCCCUCGGAGACACAUUUUCUUGUCCAGGGAUUUCAUUUUUCAUUUGCUGGGUGAUACACUUCUUAAAUUGAUCCUUCACUCCUAAAAGACGUACCUUUUAGUCGAGUCAUCCCCUUUGACCCCAAAAGACGUACCUUUUAGUAGAGUCAUUUCCUUUGAUUCCUAUAAGACAUACCUUUUACUCGAAUCAUUCCCGCUUGACUCCUAGAAGACGUACCUUUUAGUCGAGUCAUUCCCCUUAACCCCUAGAAGACGUACCUUUUAGUCGAUUCAUUCCUUUGAUUCCUAUAAGACGUACCUUUUAGUCGAGUCAUUCCUCUUGACCCCUAGAAGAAGUACCUUUUAGUAGAGUCAUUUCCUAUGAUUCCUAUAAGACGUACCUUUUAGUCGAGUCAUUCCUCUUGAGGCCUUGACCCCUAGAAGACGUACCUUUUAGUUGAGUCAUAUCCCUUGAUUCCUAUAAGAUGUACCUUUUAGUCGAGUCAUUCCCCUUGAGUCCUUGACCCCUAGAAGACGUACCUUUUAGUUGGGUCAUAUCCCUUGAUUCCUAUAAGACGUACCUUUUAGUCGAGUCAUUUCCUUUGAUUCCUAUAAGACGUACCUUUUACUUGAGUCAUCACCCCUUGAUUCCUAUAAGACGUACCUUCUAGUCGAGUCAUUCCCUUGAUUCCUAUAAGACGUACCUUUUAGUCGAGUCAAUUUCUUUGAUUCCUAUAAGACGUACCUUAUAGUCGAGUCAUUCUCCUUGAUUCCUAUAAUGAUGUGACUUUCACAAAAGUCCUUUGAUAAUAAACUGGGGCAAAAUUUAAUUCUUAUUUUUGGAACUUUACUUUUCUGGCAAACAAAAUUUCUCUUUAUGAAAAACUUUGUUUGGGAUAAUUUUCUUGUUAGUUUUGAUAUGAUUUCAGAAGCCCGCCUGAAGAACAGGGUGAUGAGAUAGAAAGUCAGGAGCCCACCUGAAGAACAGGGAUGAUGAAAUGGCAAGUCAGGAACCCGCCUGAAGAAUAGGGUGAUUAAAUAGUAAGUCAGGAGCCCUCCUGAAGAAUAGGGCGGAUAAAUGGAAAAUCUAGAACAAGGUGAAAAAAAUCUGAAAAAACAAGCAAAAAGGUGAAGCAAUUGAAAGUCAAGCAACAAGUUGAAUAAAUUGCAAAUCAGGAGCCCACCUGAAGAAUAGUGUGAUGAAACUUAAGUCAAGAGUCCAAAAGAAGAUGCAUAGAUAGAAUUUCUGUAAUUUUAUUUAUGUUUUUAACUCGUAAUUUUCAUUUUGAUGUAAUGAUAGAGCUGUGGACCGAAACCUUGAUGGAACCUCACUCGACUCUCCAACUCGGUAUAGUCCUUCUCUUUCAAAUAUUUUGAAAUACUGGUCCCUUGAUUCCUCCAUAACUUCGGUAGAUAGGUUGUCCUAAGUCAGGACUCGGUUGUCUUUCUUUCUUUUGUUCCUUCCUUUGAAUAAUGAUCGGGUCAAAAUUCUGUCUUGUUGUCUACUAUUUUGUCUGAAAACACUUCGUGUUUACAUUCAAAGGGGGCAUGAGGUAGACACCUAAUUUUGUCCCUCCUAAAGACCCAAGUUACACAUUUUAUCCUCGUUUUACCACGCGCCCUACCCUAUGUAAUUAUUCCUACACAAAAUGAUAAAUAUAACAACCCUUAGCAAAUUUUAUCUUUGUUCUAACAACCUCCUCAAUUAAAAGCGGACACCUCACCACCCCACUACCCCAUCCACGUGACCCUCCCUCCUCACAUUUCUUGACCACAAAGGAAAAUAAAAACGGACAACUGUACAAAGUUGUGGCCAUUUUUGCUCUCUUUUGGAUUUGAGAGGAACAAAAACUUACAAUAUAUUUCCCAGGGGCCCCACAGAUUUUCUUCCAUUAGAAAUACCCUCACAAGUCAUCUUCUUCAGAUGGACAAUCUUCAUAUUCACGCACCAGCUCACAGAAACAAUACGAAUACACACACCAGUGAGAGAGAUAUAUAGAUGUACACACUCAUAGAGAACCAUAGGAGAAGGAGAGAAUCGGGAGAGAGCGAAUAAAAAAGGGGUCUGAACAGUGAUCGGCCGAUGUGAAUAGUAAAUGCUGAACGGAGUAAGGGGAAGAACAGCUUUUCCCGAUGAGCCUGUCACCAAAAAAGUACCUCAUCGUAGAGUCCGUCCACUCCUCCCUAAAACCCAAUCGAAACCAGCUUUAAACUCCCUAAAAUUGUGACGCCAGUGCCCGACUACUCCGCCGCCGCCACUGUUACUGUUCCAGCGAUGGAGUUUUCGCCUAGAAUGCACCAAAUUGGUCAAAAUCGUCCCAAAAAUAUCAAGAAAACAGUGAGUUCACCUUGGGAUUUCAACAGUUAAGUUAGAGGUCUGUUUGUGAUUUGGUAUUGGUGAAAAAUGGAACAAAGGGGAUAUAUCGAAGUUGGAGUUGUUCGUUUGAAGAGGCUCGAUCCGAGAUUAUGGAUGCGGUCCAAUUGGAAGGAACAACUUUAAUCUAAAGCAACAUUUGAGGUUCAAUUCUAUCUUCUCUAUUUUUUUUUAGUUUUUAACAUAAUUAUGAAUGAUUUAUGUGUUUGGCAUGUUUGAAUCUUCGUGAUGUGUGGGUUGAUGUUGGAUUUGGAUAUGAAAACUUGAUCGGUGGAUUUUAUAUUGAAUUGGUUUAAUCAUAUUAAAAAAGUUUGGGCGCGAAUUGAAAAUUUUCUAAAGUGAAUUAGGAUUAAUUUUUAUUUAUUGUUAUUUUGAUUCAUUGACGCCGUCGAUCAUGAUAGUGCCAUGAUAGGUCAAGUUAGGUAGGCAAAAGUAGGUUGGGUAGGCAAAGUUUAGGAUCUGUGAUUGUUGAAAUGAUGAAAUAUUUGUGGAGUGGUUUCGAUUUAUGCAUUGGGAUCUAUUGUAUUCAUUUGGCCGGGGAAUGCCCCGAGGGAUUUGUAUUGAUUCACCGGGGAAUGCCCCGACGUAUCAUGUAUUCGGAGGACGUUCGUGAUGAAGGCCCGAAGAAUCGGGUAAGGCAUUGGAUCGUAGUUUAGGAUUAGUGUAGGUUAGCGUAGGUUUAUUUUUCAGUACCUUUUUUUCAUUUUGGGUUAUAAUAAUUGGACUGGACAUUAUUAUUUUGGUUUUUGGAUUGUUGUUUGAUGUUUGUUUAUGUGCUUUGUUUGGUUUAUACAUUUGUGGUGUCUAAUUAGCCGAUACUCUCCACCAAGAGACCAUGGUCGAACCAUGGGACCGAGGGGUGCCUAACACCUUUCCCUCGGUCAAUAAAAUUCCUUAGUCGAAAUCUCUGUUCGCGGAUUAGUUUUACAGAGUCAAAAUCAUUUUGAAAAGGGUUUUCCAAAGGUGACUUGGCACACCAGAUUAUGCCAAGUGGCGACUCUGAGUUUUGAAUUUAAAUAAUUCUUUUCAAAACAAACUUUCAUUUUUUGUCACUUUGAUAAUAAAAAUCCUUUCAAACUUAAAACAAAAUCGUUUUUGGGUAAAAAAAAAAGGGUGUGACAGCUCUGGCGACUCUGCUGGGGACUUUUUUUUAGAAUUCGAGCUUAUUUUCAAAUUGUAUCGGCUUAGUUUGGCACUAUAGGUGUAUAGACAUUUUAUUUGUGUUGUUUUGUGUUAUUGUUUAUCAUUGUUGAGUGCCUACGUGCUCUUUGUUUACAGUUUUUAUCUUAUGUGUUACCGUUUUAUAUCUGGCAUCAUGUGCAUAACCCGAGUCAUUCUUUCUGCAACAAGUCUGUAGUACACGCUAUGUACACGACCUCUAGUUGAGUCACCCUUAUCUUAGGGGGGAGCCGUCGGCUGGUAUGGAGUGGAUGGAAAGCUAAAGCAGCCACUAUCGACCAUAUGCUCCCCCGAAUAGCCUUGUUAGUGAACCCCAGCGUAGGUCAGCUUUUAGGUCAUGCUUAUCUGCAUCACAUUGAGACCUAGCGGGACCCACUUGGUCUGUUGUAGGAGACUCACCUCUAAGGCAUCCCUACGUGCUAAAUGUUGCAUCUUUGAGGGUAACGUGGUCAUUUGACGGACUGAUUUGAGGAAAAAUAUGUGCUAGAGGUAAAGUGCGUAGACAAGAAACCGUUUGAAAAAAAAAAAGGUGUUCCGUAGAUUUUAGUGUUCUUUAUGGCUUUUGUUUUCCAUAAUUCAAAAAUUCAAAAAAAAAUCUUUAUUUUCUGCACUCAUUUUUUUAAAAACCAAAACAUCAAAAAGAUUUCUCACUUUGUCUCCUUUAGCAUGUAUUCAUAAUUAGAAAUUUUCAAAAAAAAAAAAAAUAGUAGUUUUUAUAAAAGAAAUUGAAAAAUGGUAGAAGAUUUGUACAUUUCAUAUAGCGAAAAUGUCAAAAAGAUUUUUCUUCAAAAUUGUUGGUGUCAGUUUAGCUGAAGUGUCUAAUUAAAAACCAAAAAAGAUUUUAUUUGUUUGUCUUUGGUUGUGUCUCUUAAGUUAGGGUCAAUCUGUUAGUUAAUCGUUAAUUGUAGAAUCUGGACGAACUACGCACCCCUGAUUCUCCUCUCUCGGGAGUGAGAUACGUAGGCAACCUAUUUUGAUUUCGGGGAUCUUAUUUCAAAAAUUCAAAAAAAGAUUUUCUUCACUCUUCAUUUAGAGUAGAUGUUUCAUGUACAUCUUUAAAAGAAAACAACAAAAAAAUAUUUCCCUUUAAUAGGUUCAGGUUUCAUUUUCGUAUAAAUUCAAAAUCAAAAAUCCAAAAAUAUUUUUUUUGGUAAUCAUAGAUUUCAUUUUGUACAGAAAUCUGAAAAAUUCAAAAAGAUUUUCUUCACUCUUCAUUUAGAGUAGAUGUUUCAUGUACAUCUUUAAAAGAAAACAACAAAAAAAUAUUUCCCUUUAAUAGGUUCAGGUUUCAUUUUCGUAUAAAUUCAAAAUCAAAAACCCUAAAAAACUUUUCUUUGGUAAUCAUGGGUUUCAUUUUGUAUAGGGAUGUUAAGCCUAAAAAAUGCAAACAAAAAAGAUUUUCGUCAAUUCUUUUGACAAUUUGUUAUUUUCUUUUCUUCUUAAAGUUUCAAAAAGAAAAAAAAAGAAAACAAAGAGUUCAAUUGACCGUUUUGGCACGACUUCACGAACUACACACACCUGAUUCUCCUCUCUCGGGGGUGAGAUAUGUAGGUGCCCUUCUUGGGUUCGGUGAUCUUUUCAAGAAAAAAAAAGAGAGAGAGGUUUUGAAAAAUGUUGAACUCUAACAUAUUUGUUGCCUCUUGUUCAGUUAGUUUAAGGUGGUUGGUUUGUGGCUUCCUGGCUGGUCCUCCAUAUCACACCAAAUUCAAGGAGGGGUUAGUUGUGUCCAACAAGGAUAUAGAAAGUGGCAUCAUGGAUGAAACAAAGAGUAAAGAAAUUGAGAAUUUAAAGUAAGAGAAUUUGAGACUAAGACAACAAGUGAUGAAAAUGUAUAGAGCUUGGGCCAGUGGGCUGCCUCCAUCUCUGUUCCCCACUUUUGACCCUGCAAAUACCUUGAGUCUUGUACCAAAAUCGCAAAUUCAAUCUCCGUCUUCUUAUCUACAAUGGUAUGCACCUGUCCCUCAACAUCGUCCUCGACCCCCACGAAUUUACCAAGGAACCUCUAAAUCCAAGUUUCAUCCGAGGCUAGAGUUCACAAAGAGGAGGAAGGAAAAGGAUAAUUUCACUCCUAUUGAGGAUUCCUAUGCUAGUUUAUUCCAGAGAUUGAGAUAGAGGGCCAUGAUUACUCCUCUCCUUGGGUAUACACCUGACCCAUAUUCAAGAAAUUUUGAUCCUAAUGUACGAUGUGCAUAUCAUUAGGAUGUUCAGGGUCAUAGUAGUGAAGAUUGUCGUACUUUGAAAAGAGAAAUAGAAAAGAUAAUUCAAGAUAAAUUGAUUGUGGUGCAAAACAUUGGCCCUUCGACCAUCCCACAGGGUUCUUCACCAGCACGCGGUACUGCACAAUAUGUGGGAGGCAAUGAGUUAAGCAUGGGGAUCCAGAACUUAUUUGUUGAAGAAAAUAUGUCUGACAGUGGUGGAAGCUCUAGUCAUGCUGAUAUGCAAAUCAGUGGCUAAUAUGUCAGGCUGAGCAAUUGAGAAGUCACCCGUCUCCCUACAAGGAAGAGGUCUAGUAGUUUGUUUUCUUUUCUUUUCUAUUUUUUAAAUUAUUUCAGGGUUAUAGUUCGGGAUCUAUCUUGUUUUGUCCCUUUGUCAUUUAUGUUCAAACUUUUUUAUCUUUUGUUUCAAAUAUGUGUUGUUGGUUUGUUUUCUUUAUACAGUACAUUUUAUGUUGAUUCUAGUGAUAUAAUAUGCCUGCAAAAUUUUCAGUCUGAUCUUAAAAUCCCAGCUUAAUCAUGAAGCAUUGAAUCAGAGAGUUAAAGUUAGGAAAAGAGAGCAUAUGAGAAAAUAGAUAGAGUGUUGGGGCAUUUGGUGAUCAAGUUGAAGCCUUCUUUGAAAAUUAAGGCAAUUAUUUUGAGAAUCGUGAGAAUAACUUGGUUAGUAUUUGAAAGACAUGUUUCAAUUAGUUCAAACAGUGGAUGUGCGAUCCUACAUCAAAAGGAAUAGAAAAACUAGCUCCACGAAAGCAUGAGGAAUGUACAACAAAGUGGAGUUGUAUGUUAGGCAAGUGUAGAAAAACAAGUGGCACACAUGCUCGGGGCAAGUUAGUGUUGUAAAACAUUUCAUAAGUGAUCUUGAUCGUGCAAUUUCCCAUUGCAUGCUAUGUACUAGCAUUUUCAAGAAUUAAUAUGACGAAAGCAUUUCAUUCUGCUUUCCAAAUAUUGCGUCAUCCUUUGUUUACCCCCAUUUGGGCCUUAGUGUUAUUUUCUUUCAUACCCCUCUUUUGGAAUCAAGAUAGAGUCAACAAAAUUCAAAAAAUGUAUCGAAAAAGAAAGAAAAGAUGAGUGUCAAGAAAAAUAAAGUCAGAAAAGUCCCAAAGAGAAAAAGAGUCGACAAAAGAAAAAAAUACAAUCAAGUGAAAGAACAAGCUGCCAGAAAUACGCAUGACCUGAUUCUCCUCUCUCGAUAGUGAGAUACGUAGGCUGCCCUACUCAGGGCUCGGUUCCAAGCAAAUAAAUAAUUUAGAAUUGCCCAGUCAAAAACUGGGGCUUGAGUUAAUCCUCAUUGUUUGAGUCGAUUCCAAAAGUUGAAAGUCCUACCCCACUUUUAGUAUUGUUUGGGCCCCAUGCCAUCUUUUAUUUUCAACCCUAUCCAAAAGCCAAGUUACAACCAAAGAAAGACCUUCAGAUCAAUCUUUGAGAAUGUUAAGGCUAAGUAUGCAAUGGAUGUGAUGACACAUUUUGGGAACUACUCGUCUUCCUCAGCAUAAAAAAUCAGGAGAGAAAUAAAAAUGAGAGAGUUUUAUUGGUGAAAACCCUCACGGACACCAUAAGGCGAUGGUAAGUUGAGACAGAUAAAAAUAAAAGAGUAUUAUUGGUGAAAACCCUCAUGGGCACCAUAAGAUGAUGGUGAUUUGAGAGAAAAAUGAGAGAGGCUUGUUGGAGAAAACCCUUCAAGGUGCCACUAGCCGAAUAAGGUCUCUGAAUGCAAUGGGUCUAAGUAAGAAACUCAGUUUCAGGGUCAUUAACUCAACAACAAUUGGUAGAAAGUUUUGAUGAAAAGAUCAGGUUGCUUAAUCCAAAAUGCACAGUAUUAUUAUUAGAGUUGACUGUCAUUUUUAGAUUAAUUUAUUGUUUCUUUGUUUCAAAUGAGGAUAUUUAUUGUCUUUCCUUUCUUUUCUUUAUUUUUGUUUUAUCUUUCUUGAGUCAGUUAUUCAAAUAAAAAAAUUGUCAUUCUUUUUUUUUCUUUUCUUGUCUUUGAGCCAAGUCCAUGUCAAAACAAGUGAGAAAAGAUUUUAAAACUGGCUACCAGUUUCUUCAAUUGUACAAAGCAAGACAAAAGGGACAGCACAUGAAAAGACAUGAUUGUGAGCCGAAAUAAGGCAUACAAAAAUUAUGUCAAUAGACAAGUUUGGGAACUCAUGAAAAUACCAAGGUUCAAAGGGUUUAUAUGAUGAGCAUGGCGAAGCAGAGAUACCGUGUUUGUUUCAGAGUCACUCUUAAUAAUCUGAGUUUGGGUCAACGAUGCAGCAAGUCAAUGAUAAAUGCUUAUGGUUGGAAGCAAGGUUAAAUGUGAUGGGGCAAGAGCGAUCGUCGUGGAAGCUAAAGCCACAAACCAGCCACCGUGUUUUAAACUCACAAGUUUUCUUUGAUGAAAUAGGAAACAUAUUACCUUCAAUGCAAGGACUUCAGAGCAUAAAUAUCUAGGCCUGCAAUGCCUCACUUUUAAAUAUGCAUGAAGCAAUGUUGCUGCAAAGGUUUGGUAAUCAAAUCAUG
rnacentral:lncRNA from 1 species